GAGGGUAAAAAUAGUUAGUGUAAACAUGAAAAGUGGUACUAUGAAUGUGGUCUUUGUGGCAAUUUUACUUUUAAAGAAUGAAAAAAACAUUUAUAACUCUAGGGUUAAUUAAUCUAGACUUAAGUUUAAAGUUGAUGGGUGGAGUGGAGUAGGGUUUUUGGAAUUUGAAGUUUAGAAUUCUAUAAAUAUAUAAAUAAAUACUUUAAAAAAAUUUAAAAAUAGCUUCAAAAUAAUUUUUGAACUUCAAAAAGAAAAUUUGAAAAAAACUAUUUUGGAAAAAUUCAAAAAAAAAUUAUAAAAAAGUUCAAAAUUUAAAAAGUAUAUUUCAAAAACAUAAAAAUAGUUUUUAUUUUUAUUUUUUCAAUAAUUAUUUAUUAUAUAUAUAUAGAGCAACAAUGUGGUAAAUAUGAAUAAUGGUAUCAACGAUGUCUCUUUAGUGGUGGCAUAUAUGGAAUGUAGUAAAUAUGAAAAUUUCCAAAUUUAAAUAGAAAGUUUUUCAAAUGAGAGACACACACAUGGAUUUUUCAAUUUUAAUGAGAGACUUUCUAUUUAUUUAUUGAUAGAAAUUAUGAGAUAUUGCGUUUGAGAUAUCUCCACUGCACAUGUUCUCAAACUUUAGGUUUAUUCAUUGUGUUUAAUCUCCGUUAGACCUCAAACACAGAAGCAUCUAUAGUCAUGGUACCUACUAGAAGACUACUUGGAGAAUAAAACAGUAAAAAUAAAUAGGAAAACACGUGAACAGUUAAACAUCCUUCUUUUGGAACUUUUAUGAAUCCUUCUUGAAAACAAGUGCCAAGUAUUCCAUUUUCUUGGUCUAAUGUUUUCUCUUCUAAUUAAUUAAAUCAUGUAAUUAAACAAUAUUAAAAUACUAUUAUUAUAUUAUUAAGAACCGUUUUUCUACAUAUUUACCAUUAACGCUAUGUACAUCAGAGUUGUUGAAUGAAUAUUUUCAAUAGUUGAAAAAAUAAGAGACCGAAUAAUGGAGAUGUUGAAUGCUUACAUGGAUUCAACCGUUGAAUACACAAAAAAUGGGACUCAAUUUUCACAUGUGUUUCUUUGUUAUUGGAUUGUGUAGAUUCUGGAUUUUUUUAUCUCAAUUAUUCAACAACAAUUAUUUACAGCUAAAUUAAUUUAUAAUUUAUUUUGUAUAUAUCAAAAUUCAUAACUUUUAUACUCUAUAAAUAUAGAUUUAAUUCAUUUGAUUUGGAUAAAAAAACUUCUAUUUCUACUAUAAUUUUCUAUAACCUUUAAGCUCUUGAUUAUAUUCUUAACUAUCUUUUUUACUCUAAUGAAUCUUAACAAUAACUCUUCUAAUACCCAAAAUUCUACUAAUUACCGUUUAACUAUCCAAAUCUCAACAACUAUCAAUUUCAAAAUCACUCUUUUAGCCAAUUCCAAAAUAUACCAAACUAUGAUUUUCCAGAAAUUUUUUUCAUGCCACUAUCGGUUCUACCAUGUGUUUAUUUUAUUAAAUAAGUCAUGUGUGCUUUAUUAGUUGUUUUGUGUGUUUGUUAUUGUGUUGUAAUGCAUUUUAAGUUUCUGUAAAUUUUUUUUAAUAAUAUGAUUUUUAAAAGAAAUAUUUAAUGACUAUUCAUAUUUUCUAUUUUUGAUAUUUGUUAAAAUGUAAUAAAUUAUUACUUUUUAUGAUCUUAAUUAAAGGAGAAAUUUUACUUCUACACUUUCUUUGGUACCACAUUUCAAGUAUACCACUAGUAUGAGGUCAUUUUCACAAAUACACUUUUCAUUAAUGACCAAAAGACCAUACUAGCCCUAACUUUAUCUCUCUCUCGCGAUCAUCUUCUUUUCCUCUCUCUUUCUCUCGAUCUUUUUUCUUCUUCUCUGCCUCCGAUUCACCGGAGAUCCACCGUCUCUCUCGCGAUCUUUUUUCUUCCUCUCUACCUCCGAUUCACCGGAGAUCCACCAUCUCUCUCUCAUUCCACUGGUUCUCUGCGGUUCACACUGUCGACUCCUACUUCUGUACAAGAUUCCCAACUGGUAUGCAUCUAAUUUUUCCUUUUUUUGUUUGUGUCGAUUAAUUUUGCGAAAUUUCGAUUUUGUGGUUACUCUAGUCGAAAAAUCAAACAAGGUUGCUUUAGACUUCUAAUUUGUACAGGUCGAUCUAAGAUAAACAGUUUUGAUUGUGAAAACAUUGAGUUUUUGACAACUUAAAAUCAUUUAUAACCCUUUGUAAAUCUAAGUUAUUUUGUAAUGUAAUUGAUAUGUUCAGUUCCUGAGAAGUUGUGUUCAAGCUUAUAUGAGAGCCACAACCCUGCAAGCACACAUUUGCUUCGAUGUACAAUGGUAAUCACUAUUUUCAUCAUUGACUUUUGUUUUUCUCUUAAAUCUUAUUGAACAAUCAUUGAGAUUUUUUUUUGUUUUUUCUUGUGUCUUAAAUUGCAGAAUAUGUUCCCUUUAGCGAACUAAUCUCCUCUGAUUCCUUGAUUGUGAAACCUCUGUUUCUCAGUUGUUGAUUUUGUUCCAUUUACUUUUUUACUUGCUUUCUCUCUCACAUACAAAGACCAUAGCGUUUCCACAAGUUUCGUGGCAGAAAAUUUUCAGGCACUCUAUAUCAGAUUUACAAGCUGAAAAAGAUAGCGUCCAAGCUUAUCUUGAGAAGCCUAAUGUAAGGCAUCGACCUAACUCGAGGUUUCUCACAGCAACUGUCCUUGGUGUUCAACAAUUUCAGUGUUGGAGAAGUUUCCGGAGGCGGCUUUAGAUGUGGAUCAGACGAUCUUUGUGGUUGUGGCGGAAGACGUGGAGAGGAGCAAAACGACGGUGUUAUGGGCGGCAAGAAACUUCUCCAGCAAGAAGAUUUGCUUGCUUUACGUCCAUCGUCCUGCUCGGCCUGCCUCCUGCAGUGAGAAUCUUUUGCUUCUCUUUCUCUUUGACUUAACUGUUUUGUGGUGAAUUAUAGAAUAUUUAUGGAUGUUGAAUUGUUCUUGAGUGUAGAUUUGCUCAUGAAUCAUGAUUGAAUCUUACCGAGUCUAUAUAUAUAUCCUUUAGUUGAUUGUGGAUGAUGUUAAUGAUGUACCUCUGUUUGCUAAGAAAAUCUGAGAAAUGAUAUAAUUGUUUUAUAAAGA